UGCCGCUGGAUCACCUCCCAUCAAAGGAGCCCUACCCCUAAUUCACUUCGAAUAUGCCUUAUAGGAGGAGCUGGAAGGUCAUCCCUAGGUCGUUCGAAGCGGACCAAGAUGGCUUUCAAGCUAGAGUCGAGGGCUAAGAGGCUAUUAGCUCAGGUGGUUAGAGCGCACCCCUGAUAAGGGUGAGGUCCCUGGUUCGAGUCCAGGAUGGCCCACUGGAGAAGCUAGUGGGGGUUUAGCUCAGUUGGUAGAGCGCCUGCUUUGCAAGCAGGAUGUCAGCGGUUCGAGUCCGCUAACCUCCACCACGCAAUCUGCCCUAGAUUGAUGGAAAACGAAGUCAGCAAAGUGUUAGGAAAGAUUAACAUUCUGCUAGUUCCACUUGAAAUGCUCAGUUAGAACCUUGAAAACUGCUAGAGAUGUCAUUCCAAAGGUUCUUUGACAUCAAUAUUUAUGAAUAUGGUCAAGCUACAAAUGGCU
rnacentral:tRNA from 1 species